CUACCUUGAGGACAUCUCCUGUGAGAAAGCCAUCCUCAAGCACUCCGAGGGCAAAAACGAUAUCCUCUCAGACACCCAAAUGACAAAAGAAACAUAUGGGGUUUACAAAAUUAAUGAAUGCACCUGAUGUCGAUGAGGUUCAACAGAGGGAAGAGGAAAUGGUAAUAGUUGCAUCGGAUUCGACUAGGCCUUCUAAGGUUACAGGAUAGCUAUACAAGGCUUCGUAGAAGUCCUACACAUAUAAUAUGGGAUCCAACAAGACCAAGGGAAAAGGAAAUGAUCGUAAUUGAUUCAUCUGUGACUUUGCCUCCUACGACCACAACACAUCCAUUUGAGGCUCUGUUACAACCCCCUUCAGGACAUCCCACGGAUCCUCAACCUCACCCAAUUGUAGAAGACAAAGAUGAGCCACCUAUAGAGCCACAUACUUCUUUGAAGAGGCUCGAUUUUGAUGAUCCACCACAAUCAUAGAUACCGAUAGAGACAUAUAGUUAUAGUUGUGAUCAUUCAAGGACCAGUUUUUUUAUAUAUUCGACAUUUGUAUAUGUAUAUAUCGACUUUAACAAACA